rnacentral:rRNA from 1 species
UACGGGAGGGGGCUAGCGUUGUUCGGAAUUACUGGGCGUAAGGCGCACGUAGGCGGCUUUGUAAGUUAGAGGUGAAAGCCCGGGGCUCAACUCCGGAAUUGCCUUUAAGACUGCAUCGCUAGAAUUGUGGAGAGGUAAGUGGAAUUCCGAGUGUAGAGGUGAAAUUCGUAGAUAUUCGGAAGAACACCAGUGGCGAAGGCGAACUUACUGGACACA